CAGGGCAUGCAAAACCUGCGUGGUGCACGCUCAGUGCGCACUGUGCUUGCAAACCUUGCUCCGUGCACGCUCCCGGUGCACACUGUGCUUGGAAACUGUGCUCGGUGCAUGCUCCUGGUGCACGUUCUGUGUGCAGACCUUGCUCUGUGCAUGCUCUUGGUGCAUGUUCUGGGUGCAAAACCGCUCCGUGCAUGCCCUUGGUGCACGAUUUGCAAGCAAAGGUGCCCCGUGCACGCUCAGUGUGCACUGUGCAUGCAAACCUUGUUCCGUGCACGCUCCCAGCGCACACUGCGCUUGCAACCAGUGCUCCGUGCAUGCUCUGGGUGCACGAUUUGCACGCAAACCUUGCUCCGUGCACGCUCUUGGUGCGUGUUCUGGGUGCAAACCUUGCUCGGUGCACGCCCCCGGUGCACGCUUUGCACGCAACCCCUGCUCUGCGCAUGCUCCGUGCACGCCCCCCC
rnacentral:lncRNA from 1 species